GUCUGCUUAGCUCAGUGGGAGAGCGACGGUCUGAAGCGCAUUAUACGGAUCUAAUCCGGUUAUGGCUUACCGCAGGUCCUGUGUUCAAUCCACAGAGCGGACA